UACGUAGGUGACAAGCGUUGUCCGGAUUUACUGGGCGUAAAGAGCGCGCAGGCGGUCGUUCAAGUCGAGUGUGAAAGCCCCCGGCUCAACUGGGGAGGGUCAUUCGAUACUGAUCGACUCGAAGGCAGGAGAGGGUAGUGGAAUUCCCGGUGUAGUGGUGAAAUGCGUAGAUAUCGGGAGGAACACCAGUGGCGAAGGCGAACUACCUGGCCUGUUCUUGACGCUGAGGCGCGAAAGCUAGGG
rnacentral:rRNA from 1 species